UACGUAGGGUGCAAGCGUUGUCCGGAAUUACUGGGCGUAAAGGGCUCGUAGGCGGCGGGUCGCGUCGGGAGUGAAAGACCGGGGCUUAACCCCGGUUCUGCUUCCGGUACGGGCAUGCUGGAGUGUGGCAGGGGAGACUGGAAUUCCUGGUGUAGCGGUGGAAUGCGCAGAUAUCAGGAGGAACACCGGUGGCGAAGGCGGGUCUCUGGGCCAUUACUGACGCUGAGGAGCGAAAGCGUGGGGAGCGAACAGG
rnacentral:rRNA from 1 species